GGUUGUGUAGUGUAGUGGUUAUCACUCUUGACUUUGAAUCAAGUAACCCGAGUUCGACUCUCGGCAUGACCU